GGGGGACCUUCGGGCCUCUUGCCAUCGGAUGUGCCCAGAUGGGAUUAGCUUGUAGGUGGGGUAACGGCUCACCUAGGCGACGAUCCCUAGCUGGUCUGAGAGGAUGACCAGCCACACUGGAACUGAGACACGGUCCAGACUCCUACGGGAGGCAGCAGUGGGGAAUAUUGCACAAUGGGCGCAAGCCUGAUGCAGCCAUGCCGCGUGUAUGAAGAAGGCCUUCGGGUUGUAAAGUACUUUCAGCGAGGAGGAAGGUGUUGUGGUUAAUAACCGCAGCGAUUGACGUUACUCGCAGAAGAAGCACCGGCUAACUCCGUGCCAGCAGCCGCGGUAAUACGGAGGGUGCAAGCGUUAAUCGGAAUUACUGGGCGUAAAGCGCACGCAGGCGGUCUGUCAAGUCGGAUGUGAAAUCCCCGGGCUCAACCUGGGAACUGCAUCCGAGACUGGCAGGCUAGAGUCUUGUAGAGGGGGGUAGAAUUCCAGGUGUAGCGGUGAAAUGCGUAGAGAUCUGGAGGAAUACCGGUGGCGAAGGCGGCCCCC
rnacentral:rRNA from 1 species